rnacentral:lncRNA from 1 species
UUAUAAUACACAUCACAUAGAAAAUAAAAGGUAAUAUUUAAACUAUUAGGGGAGUUCAUAUUUCACUGCCAAUAUAUUUUAUUUUGAAAAUACUACAUUGAAUCAGCUUUCUUUUUGAAUAACCUUUGUUGCCUUGGAUGUGACAGACAUACAUUCCUACUCUUAUACAAAGUACAGUUCAUUUAUUUAUUAAAAUAAAUAUUUAUGUUUACUGGGGCUCUAUUAUGUGCCAGGAUCUAUUCUGGGUCUUUGGGAUCAGGUAGGGUAUAAAUAGACAAAUUCUUAUGCUCAGAGAGCUUAUAUGGUAGACACAAACAGUAAAUAAAUGAAUAAAUUAAAAAUGAAUAUAUAAUAAGCAAUGUGGCAAUUAAUAUUAUUUUGCAUAAUUAGUUUAAAAAUAGAUUUAAAAUGUGAAUGGCAUGAGACCAUACGGGUACUAAUUUAUUAUUACCAAAUAGCUAUGAUUUAUUAUUAUUGUUAUUGUUUGUAUAAUGCCUUUCAAUCCAUAAAGCAGUUUCCAUACGCCUCAGGAUACCUGUGAGAGAAAAUAAGACAAUGAUCACUAUUUCACAAAUGUGAAAACUGAGACUGUAUAUUAAAAGAAAAGAACCUC